rnacentral:rRNA from 1 species
GAUGAACGCUGGCGGCGUGCUUAACACAUGCAAGUCGAACGAAGCACCUUGAUUUGAUUCUUCGGAUGAAGAUCUUGGUGACUGAGUGGCGGACGGGUGAGUAACGCGUGGGUAACCUGCCUUAUACAGGGGGAUAACAGUUAGAAAUGGCUGCUAAUACCGCAUAAGCGCACAGGACCGCAUGGUCUGGUGUGAAAAACUCCGGUGGUAUAAGAUGGACCCGCGUCUGAUUAGCUGGUUGGUGGGGUAACGGCCCACCAAGGCGACGAUCAGUAGCCGGCCUGAGAGGGUGAACGGCCACAUUGGGACUGAGACACGGCCCAG